rnacentral:rRNA from 1 species
GACGAACGCUGGCGGCGUGCUUAACACAUGCAAGUCGAGCGGUAAGGCCCUUUCGGGGGUACACGAGCGGCGAACGGGUGAGUAACACGUGGGUGACCUGCCCUCAGCUCUGGGAUAAGCCCGGGAAACUGGGUCUAAUACCGGAUAUGACUCCAUGACGCAUGUUGUGGGGUGGAAAGCCUUGUGCGGCUGAGGAUGGGCCCGCGGCCUAUCAGCUUGUUGGUGGGGUGAUGGCCACCAAGGCGACGACGGGUAGCCGGCCUGAGAGGGCGACCGGCCACACUGGGACUUAGAUACGGCCCAGACUCCUACGGGAGGCAGCAGUGGGGAAUCUUGCGCAAUGGGCGAAAGCCUGACGCAGCGACGCCGCGUGAGGGAUGACGGCCUGGUGUAAC